rnacentral:lncRNA from 1 species
AAGAGAGACCGACAACAAAUACAAAAAGGGCAAUGUCUCUUUCUAAUAAUGCUCUUUCCAAUUUUGAACUACAAAAAUAACAACAACAGUAGUUUUUUUUGGUUACUACUAGUCUUUAAGAUCAUACUGCUUAGAUUUCUCUAUUAUACCGACUUGAAACAAAAAAAAAAAAAGUUUAUCUAAACUAUUAUUUAUUAUGAAAUACGGAGUGUAACCUUCUUUAGUUAGUUUAGUAUUCAUCUAAAACAUAGUGUUUGAAUGGCUACUAUGGUUAUAAUGGACAUAUGUAAAAAAAAAUGAAUUUC